rnacentral:rRNA from 1 species
CCUACGGGUGGCAGCAGUGGGGGAUAUUGCACAAUGGGGGAAACCCUGAUGCAGCGACGCCGCGUGGGUGAAGAAGCGCCUCGGCGCGUAAAGCCCUGUCAGCAGGGAAGAAAAUGACGGUACCUGAAGAAGAAGCCCCGGCUAACUACGUGCCAGCAGCCGCGGUAAUACGUAGGGGGCAAGCGUUAUCCGGAUUUACUGGGUGUAAAGGGGGCGCAGACGGGGGUGCAAGCCAGGAGUGAAAGCCCGGGGCCCAACCCCGGGAUCGCUCCUGGCACUGCGUGACUAGAGUGCAGGAGGGGUAGGCGGAAUUCCUGGUGUAGCGGUGAAAUGCGUAGAUAUCAGGAGGAACACCGGUGGCGAAGGCGGCCUGCUGGAUUGCAACUGACGUUGAGGCCCGAAAGCGUGGGGAGCAAACAGGAUUAGAUACCCGAGUAGUC